rnacentral:rRNA from 1 species
UCUUGGUCAUUUAGAGGAAGUAAAAGUCGUAACAAGGUUUCCUUCUACCCUACCGAAGCCUUGUGAAAGCAACAGUCCGCCUCCGGGUGGGCGACAUUCGCCUGUUGCUGGAAAUUACCUUUCUUUAAGGCCAACCAGCUGCUACAUGCUUGCGUGUAGUCCACAGAUCAAACGCGAGUGGCCUUCGUUGUUCUCAUCCUCUAGGGAGCCUUCGUUGUUCUCAUCCUCUAGGGAGUUUCGGGAACAUGUCGGUUAAGAUAUGACCGUAGCAGCUCCGUAAGGCGUCUGAUUACUACUAGUUCCGUAGGUGAACCUGCGGAAGGAUCAUUA